AAGGUUAAAAAGCAGGCAUCCAGAUUCUGCAGCGUUUGACCCACGGGGAUCCUGUAUAUGGGAUACCAUGCAACAGCAAUCCAACUUGAGGGUGACAGAUCACAGCUCCUAUAUGUCUUGAGUUCUGGAAACUGAGUCGCAAGAUCUGAGAUCUUGUCAGCCAAUGGUUCACGAGUAAAUGGUGAAGCAUGCUCCAUGUACUCAAAAAUAAGCUGACCUGUGGGAUUGGAAAUUUCACAUUCAUCACUUGAUGAACCUCUGACAGGUUUAUUUCUCAGUGAGAGUCUAUUCAAACUCUGAAUAUUUGCAUCUGUAAUAUUUUGCUGAAUCCAAGAGCCCCAAGCACCAUUGUUUACUCCCCUCUCUGCUCUGUAGUCACUGCUACCAUCACUACUGGUUUCCCUGGAUGACUCAGCAUCACUUUCCUCACCAGGCCUCCUUAGCCUUGGACAGGGUCUUGAUGGGUCUAUAUACAGCUGAAUGCCAGACAAGGAAGGAACAUAGUACUGCAUAACAGUUUCGCUUCCAUUUAACAGAAGGGGAACACCCGCACCAUACGCACUCCACUCUUUAAAAGAUUCCCAUAGAUCACCCAGCAUAUAGUAUGGGUAAUACUCUGCUUCACGAUUUCUCCAUCCCAUAAUGCUUGUCUUUGGCAAAUAUUGGGCAGGAACCACAGGAGUAGUGUACUCCAAGAACCGAUCUAAAUUUGUUGAAUUACCCUCGCCCCCUACCCGUGCCGAAGCCGAACAAUUUGACAUCGAUGAGGACGAAGAUAACGAAACACAUUGAUCUGACUCCGCUCUCUUCUCCAUAGCCGCCGUACAAUUCUUGGAAAUCAACGACCCCUGCUUCUGCCGCUGGUCCUGCUUUUGUUGCUGCUGCUGCUGCUGCUGCUGCUGUUGUUGUAGCUGGUGGGGCAUCGCCGGAGAAACAUAGAAUCGGUUCUCGCCGCGGGCUCGGGCAAUCGAAACCCCACCGCACCCCGACAUUGUACGAAACCUACGAAGAAUCCGACAAAAACAAUGUCGCUGAGGAAGAAAUUGGAUGCGAGGUUUUCAGUUGUUGUUGCGCUCAGGAGGGUUUUUAUUGAUUACAAAGAUGGAUUAGAAAUAUACAAAAUCUCUCUUUCUGUGAGGGUAUAUAUAUAUAGGGGGUGGCUGAAUAGGGCAAGAACGGAGAGUGCUAAAGUGAAAGGUUUAAGCGUGAGUAGUGUUUGAGCUUCCUUUGGAUUUUGUAGAGACGAAGCUGAGACUCUUUAGGCUCUGUGGGUGAGAAAUUGGGCCAAAAAGGGGACGAGAAGAAUCCAGAAUUUUUUUUCCUCUACGUGAAAU
rnacentral:misc_RNA from 1 species